rnacentral:rRNA from 1 species
UAGGGAAUAUUGGUAAUGGGCGCAAGCCUGAACCAGCAACGCCGCGUGUGCGAUGAAGGCCUUCGGGUUGUAAAGCACUUUUGACCGGGACGAGGAAGGACGGUACCGGUGGAAUAAGCCUCGGCUAACUACGUGCCAGCAGCCGCGGUAAAACGUAGGAGGCGAGCGUUAUCCGGAUUUACUGGGUGUAAAGCGCGUGCAGGCGGUUAGCUAAGUUGGGUGUGAAAGCUCCUGGCUCAACUGGGGGAGGUCGCUCAAGACAGGCUGACUCGAGGAUGGUAGGGGAAGGUGGAAUUCCGGGUGUAGUGGUGAAAUGCGUAGAUAUCCGGAGGAACACCAGUGGCGAAGGCGGCCUUCUGGACCAUCACUGACGCUCAGACGCGAAAGCUAGGGUAGCAAACGG